AUUGAACGCUGGCGGUAGGCUUAACACAUGCAAGUCGAACGGUAGCAGCUCUAGCUUGCUAGAGGCUGACGAGUGGCGGACGGGUGAGUAACGCGUAGGAAUCUACCUAAUAGUGGGGGACAACCUGGUGAAAACCAGGCUAAUACCGCAUACGCCCUACGGGGAAAGCGGGGAGUCUUCGGACCUCGCGCUAUUAGAUGAGCCUGCGUUAGAUUAGCUAGUUGGUGGGGUAAAGGCUCACCAAGGCGACGAUCUAUAGCUGGUCUGAGAGGAUGAUCAGCCACACUGGGACUGAGACACGGCCCAGACUCCUACGGGAGGCAGCAGUGGGGAAUAUUGCGCAAUGGGCGAAAGCCUGACGCAGCCAUACCGCGUGUGUGAAGAAGGCUCUAGGGUCGUAAAGCACUUUAAGUAGGGAGGAAGGCCUAAAGUUUAAUACGCUUUAGGAUUGACGUUACCUACAGAAUAAGCACCGGCUAACUCCGUGCCAGCAG
rnacentral:rRNA from 1 species